rnacentral:rRNA from 1 species
UCGGUGGGGAUUAGUGGCGAACGGGUGAGUAACACGUGGGCAAUCUGCCCUUCACUCUGGGACAAGCCCUGGAAACGGGGUCUAAUACCGGAUACCACUACCGCAGGCAUCUGUGGUGGUUGAAAGCUCCGGCGGUGAAGGAUGAGCCCGCGGCCUAUCAGCUUGUUGGUGAGGUAAUGGCUCACCAAGGCGACGACGGGUAGCCGGCCUGAGAGGGCGACCGGCCACACUGGGACUGAGACACGGCCCAGACUCCUACGGGAGGCAGCAGUGGGGAAUAUUGCACAAUGGGCGAAAGCCUGAUGCAGCGACGCCGCGUGAGGGAUGACGGCCUUCGGGUUGUAAACCUCUUUCAGCAGGGAAGAAGCGAAAGUGACGGUACCUGCAGAAGAAGCGCCGGCUAACUACGUGCCAGCAGCCGCGGUAAUACGUAGGGCGCAAGCGUUGUCCGGAAUUAUUGGGCGUAAAGAGCUCGUAGGCGGCUUGUCACGUCGGGUGUGAAAGCCCGGGGCUUAACCCCGGGUCUGCAUUCGAUACGGGCUAGCUAGAGUGUGGUAGGGGAGAUCGGAAUUCCUGGUGUAGCGGUGAAAUGCGCAGAUAU